rnacentral:rRNA from 1 species
UACGAAGGGGGCUAGCGUUGCUCGGAAUUACUGGGCGUAAAGCGUGCGUAGACGGUUUCGUAAGUCGGGUGUGAAAGCCCCGGGCUCAACCUGGGAAUUGCAUUCGAGACUGCGUAGCUAGGGUGCGGAAGAGGGAAGCGGAAUUUCCGGUGUAGCGGUGAAAUGCGUAGAUAUCGGAAGGAACAUCAGUGGCGAAAGCGGCUUCCUGGUCCAGCACCGACGUUCAGGCACGAAAGCGUGGGGAGCAAACAGG